CAGUCGCCGCGGUAAUACGUAGGGUGCAAGCGUUAAUCGGAAUUACUGGGCGUAAAGCGUGCGCAGGCGGUUCGGAAAGAAAGAUGUGAAAUCCCAGAGCUUAACUUUGGAACUGCAUUUUUAACUACCGGGCUAGAGUGUGUCAGAGGGAGGUGGAAUUCCGCGUGUAGCAGUGAAAUGCGUAGAUAUGCGGAGGAACACCGAUGGCGAAGGCAGCCUCCUGGGAUAACACUGACGCUCAUGCACGAAAGCGUGGGGAGCAAACAGGAUUAGAUACCCGAGUAGUCCCUGUCUCUUAUAC
rnacentral:rRNA from 1 species